UGGGCUUGACAUGCAUGGGAAGCCUCUGAGAGAUCAGGGGUGCUCUUCGGAGCUCAUGCAGCACCUGUGUCCAGGUUCCCUUUCGGGCACACCUCCAUCUCUGGAGGCUUCCGUACAUGUCAAGGGUAGGUAAGGUUUUUCGCGUUGCAUCGAAUUAAUCCACAUAAUCCACCGCUUGUGCGGGUCCCCGUCAAUUCCUUUGAGUUUUAAUCUUGCGACCGUACUCCCCAGGCGGAUGACUUCACGCGUUAGCUGCGUUACUAAAGGAUUUAACUCCUCCAACAACUAGUCAUCAUCGUUUAGGGCGUGGACUAC
rnacentral:misc_RNA from 1 species